rnacentral:rRNA from 1 species
UACGUAGGGUGCAAGCGUUGUCCGGAAUUAUUGGGCGUAAAGAGCUCGUAGGCGGUCUGUCACGUCGGCUGUGAAAACCCGAGGCUCAACCUCGGGCCUGCAGUCGAUACGGGCAGACUAGAGUUCGGUAGGGGAGACUGGAAUUCCUGGUGUAGCGGUGAAAUGCGCAGAUAUCAGGAGGAACACCGGUGGCGAAGGCGGCAUCCUGGACCGACAUUGACGCUGAACGGCGAAGGCUAGGGGAGCAAACGGG